rnacentral:rRNA from 1 species
GACGAACGCUGGCGGCGUGCUUAACACAUGCAAGUCGAACGGAUUGCUUGGUGCUUGCACUGAGUGGUUAGUGGCGAACGGGUGAGUAACACGUGAGUAACCUGCCCCCUUCUUUGGGAUAAGCACCUGAAAGGGUGUCUAAUACUGAUUAUUCUGCUGGAAUCGCAUGGUUUUGGUUGGAAAGGUUUUUCUGGUGGGGGAUGGGCUCGCGGCUUAUCAGCUUGUUGGUGGGGUAAUGGCUUACCAAGGCUUUGACGGGUAACCGGCCUGAGAGGGUGACCGGUCACAUUGGGACUGAGAUACGGCCCAGACUCCUACGGGAGGCAGCAGUGGGGAAUACUGCACAAUGGACGAAAGUCUGAUGCAGCGACGCCGCGUGAGGGAUGAAGGCCUUCGGGUUGUAAACCUUUUUCGCUUUUGACCAAGGCAGCAUUUUGUGUUGUUGAGGGUAUGAGGUAAAGAAGCUCCGGCUAACUACGUGCCAGCAGCCGCGGUAAGUAGCGU